AGAGUUUGAUCUGGCUCAGGAUGAACGCCGGCGGUGUGCCUAAUACAUGCAAGUCGUACGCGUUGGCCCAACUGAUUUGAAGUGCUUGCACGGAUCUGACGUUGGUUUACCAACGAGUGGCGGACGGGUGAGUAACACGUAGGUAACCUGCCCAGAAGCGGGGGACAACACUUGGAAACAGGUGCUAAUACCGCAUAACAAUUCAAAUCGCAUGAUUUGAAUUUGAAAGAUGGUUUCGGCUAUCACUUCUGGAUGGACCUGCGGCGCAUUAGCUUGUUGGUGGGGUAACGGCCUACCAAGGCAGUGAUGCGUAGCCGAGUUGAGAGACUGAUCGGCCACAAUGGGACUGAGACACGGCCCAUACUCCUACGGGAGGCAGCAGUAGGGAAUCUUCCACAAUGGGCGCAAGCCUGAUGGAGCAACACCGCGUGAGUGAAGAAGGUUUUCGGAUCGUAAAGCUCUGUUGUUGAAGAAGAACGUGCAUGAGAGUAACUGUUCAUGCAGUGACGGUAUUCAACCAGAAAGUCACGGCUAACUACGUGCCAGCAGCCGCGGUAAUACGUAGGUGGCAAGCGUUAUCCGGAUUUAUUGGGCGUAAAGAGAGUGCAGGCGGUUUCUUAAGUCUGAUGUGAAAGCCUUCGGCUCAACCGAAGAAGUGCAUCGGAAACUGGGAAACUUGAGUACAGAAGAGGGCAGUGGAACUCCAUGUGUAGCGGUGGAAUGCGUAGAUAUAUGGAAGAACACCAGUGGCGAAGGCGGCUGCCUGGUCUGUAACUGACGCUGAGACUCGAAAGCAUGGGU
rnacentral:rRNA from 1 species